GAUGAACGCUAGCUACAGGCUUAACACAUGCAAGUCGAGGGGAAACGACAUCGAAAGCUUGCUUUUGAUGGGCGUCGACCGGCGCACGGGUGAGUAACGCGUAUCCAACCUGCCCAUCACUUGGGGAUAACCUUGCGAAAGUAAGACUAAUACCCAAUGAUAUCUCUAGAAGACAUCUGAAAGAGAUUAAAGAUUUAUCGGUGAUGGAUGGGGAUGCGUCUGAUUAGCUUGUUGGCGGGGUAACGGCCCACCAAGGCAACGAUCAGUAGGGGUUCUGAGAGGAAGGUCCCCCACAUUGGAACUGAGACACGGUCCAAACUCCUACGGGAGGCAGCAGUGAGGAAUAUUGGUUAAUGGGCGAGAGCCUGAACCAGCCAAGUAGCGUGCAGGAAGACGGCCCUAUGGGUUGUAAACUGCUUUUAUAAGGGAAUAAAGUGAGAGUCGUGACUCUUUUUGUAUGUACCUUAUGAAUAAGGACCGGCUAAUUCCGUG
rnacentral:rRNA from 1 species